CCUACGGGAGGCAGCAGUGAGGAAUAUUGGUCAAUGGGCGAGAGCCUGAACCAGCCAAGUCGCGUGAGGGAGUACUGCCCUAUGGGUUGUAAACCUCUUUUGUCGGGGAGCAAAAGCCGGACGUGUCCGGCUGUGAGAGUACCCGAAGAAAAAACAUCGGCUAACUCCGCGCCAGCAGCCGCGGUAAUAUGGAGGAUGCGAGCGUUAUCCGGAUUUAUUGGGUUUAAAGGGUGCGCAGGCGGAUUUUUAAGUCAGCGGUAAAAUCGUGGGGCUCAACCCCAUCCAGCCGUUGAAACUGGGGAUCUAGAGUGGGCGAGAGGUAUGCGGAAUGCGUGGUGUAGCGGUGAAAUGCAUAGAUAUCACGCAGAACCCCGAUUGCGAAGGCAGCAUACCGGUGCACAACUGACGCUGAAGCACGAAAGCGUGGGUAUCGAACAGGAUUAGAUACCCCAGUAGUC
rnacentral:rRNA from 1 species